rnacentral:rRNA from 1 species
ACGAACGCUGGCGGCCUGCCUCACACAUGCCAGUCGAACGAGACCUUCGGGUCUAGUGGCGCACGGGUGCGUAACGCGUGGGAACCUGCCCUUAGGUUCGGAAUAACUCCCCGAAAGGGGUGCUAAUACCGGAUAAUGUCUUCGGACCAAAGAUUUAUCGCCUUUGGAUGGGCCCGCGUUGGAUUAGCUAGUUGGUAGGGUAAAAGCCUACCAAGGCGACGAUCCAUAGCUGGUCUGAGAGGAUGAUCAGCCACACUGGGACUGAGACACGGCCCAGACUCCUACGGGAGGCAGCAGUGGGGAAUAUUGGACAAUGGGCGAAAGCCUGAUCCAGCAAUGCCGCGUGAGUGAUGAAGGCCUUAGGGUUGUAAAGCUCUUUUACCCGGGAUGAUAAUGACAGUACCGGGAGAAUAAGCUCCGGCUAACUCCGUG